UACGUAGGGGGCAAGCGUUGUCCGGAAUCAUUGGGCGUAAAGAGCGCGUAGGCGGCCCAGUAAGUCCGCUCUGAAAGUCAGAGGCUCAACCUCUGAAUGCGGGUGGAUACUGCUGGGCUAGAGUCCGGAAGAGGCGAGUGGAAUUCCUGGUGUAGCGGUGAAAUGCGUAGAUAUUGGGAGGAACACCAGUGGCGAAGGCGGCUCGCUGGACCGGAACUGACGCUGAGGCGCGAAAGCGUGGGGAGCAAACAGG
rnacentral:rRNA from 1 species